rnacentral:rRNA from 1 species
UAGAGGAAGUAAAAGUCGUAACAAGGUUUCCGUAGGUGAACCUGCGGAAGGAUCAUUACUGAGUGAGGGCCCUCUGGGUCCAACCUCCCACCCGUGUUUAUUUACCUUGUUGCUUCGGCGGGCCCGCCUUAACUGGCCGCCGGGGGGCUUACGCCCCCGGGCCCGCGCCCGCCGAAGACACCCUCGAACUCUGUCUGAAGAUUGUAGUCUGAGUGAAAAUAUAAAUUAUUUAAAACUUUCAACAACGGAUCUCUUGGUUCCGGCAUCGAUGAAGAACGCAGCGAAAUGCGAUACGUAAUGUGAAUUGCAAAUUCAGUGAAUCAUCGAGUCUUUGAACGCACAUUGCGCCCCCUGGUAUUCCGGGGGGCAUGCCUGUCCGAGCGUCAUUGCUGCCCUCAAGCACGGCUUGUGUGUUGGGCCCCGUCCUCCGAUUCCGGGGGACGGGCCCGAAAGGCAGCGGCGGCACCGCGUCCGGUCCUCGAGCGUAUGGGGCUUUGUCACCCGCUCUGUAGGCCCGGCCGGCGCUUGCCGAUCAACCCAAAUUUUUAUCCAGGUUGACCUCGGAUCAGGUAGGGAUACCCGCUGAACUUAAGCAUAU